GACCGCGUAGCUCAGUUGGAAGAGCAUUGGGCUGGUAUUCCAAAGGUCGUAGGUUCGAAUCCCACCGUGGCCG